UACGUAGGUGGCAAGCGUUGUCCGGAUUUAUUGGGUUUAAAGGGUGCGUAGGCGGGUUAUUAAGUCAGUGGUGAAAGCUCCCAGCUUAACUGGGAAACUGCCAUUGAUACUGAUAGUCUUGAGUAUGAUUGAAGUGGGCGGAAUGUGUCAUGUAGCGGUGAAAUGCUUAGAUAUGACACAGAACACCGAUUGCGAAGGCAGCUCACUAAGCCAUAACUGACGCUGAUGCACGAAAGCGUGGGGAGCAAACAGG
rnacentral:rRNA from 1 species